AAGAAGGUAAUCAACAGCAA
rnacentral:miRNA from 1 species